GGAUGUGAGGGUGAACUGACCGUGGCAUCUCUCUCCCUAUUGAUUGCCAAGGUUGACUCAACUGAUUUGACUGACUGGACUGGUAUCCCCUUCCUCCCUCACCAAUCCAUGUGUGUAUUUCCAGAAGCUAUGUGCUUGGUAAAAGAGAUUGACCAACCCCAUAGAGGGGGCCCAUUCUUUAGUCAAGGGUAUACAAGUACCCAUGCUGCCCCGCUAGAACCUCCAAACAAACUCUCAAAAUCCUUUCUUCUAGCCUUUUAAAAAUAUAUAGUAGAUCAUUAUCUGUAAUCACCCGGUUAUACCAUAGAGCAUCCAAAUUUGUUUCUCCUA
rnacentral:snRNA from 1 species